GGAGCAUCUUGAAGCACAGCAGACUGGCAAGGGCACAGUGUGCUGCUUUCCAUGGAAACACAACACAGCUCAAGCUGUUGUGGCAGCACUGUCCAAGUUCACUUGUCUGCUUCACAUCUGCAGACUGGAUUGCCUACGCAUCAGUGAUGAGAGAACCAAGACAUAGCCAGCACAGCCUGGCUGAGGCUGGACAAAGCAGGGGCAUGCAGAGGUGACUAGCAAGCACACUCCUAUCUUCCAUGCAAAGAGUGAACACUAGAAGAGGAAUUCUGAUGACUCGGACCAGCGUUUUGAACGGAAAAGAAAGUGGAGGUUCUAACCUUUUUCUAGUUUGUUUCUGUAAAUACAUUAUCAGUAAAUAGAGGGCUAAGGAGAAUCUCCAUCUUUUAUUGAAUGCAGGGAGAAACAUAGUAACAAAGGUUGAGGAAAAGGCUGAGGUACUGAAUUCCUUCUUUGCCUCAGCCUUUGACAGUAAGACCAGCUAGUUGUUGGGGGACCCACCCUUCCUGAGCUGAAAGAUAGGGACAAGGAGCAGAAUGAACUGCCCAUAAUCCAAGGUGAAGUGGUCAGUGACCUGCUACACCACUGAGACGCACACCAGUCUAUAGUGCUGGAUGGGAUCUACACAAGGGUGUUGAGGGAGCUGGUGGAAGUGCUCACCAAGCCACUUUCCAUCAUUUAUCAGCAGUCCUGGGUAACCGGGACAGGUUCCAGUUGACUGGAGGUUGUCAAAUGUGACGCCCAUCUACAUGAAGGACAGGAAGGAGGACCUGGGGAACUACAGGCCUGUCAGCCUGACCUCAGUGCAGGAGAAGGUUAUGGAGCAGAUCAUCCUGAAUGCCAUGACACAGCAAAUACGAGACAAGCAGGUGAUCGGGCCCAGUGAGCGUGGGUCUCUGAAAGGCAGGUCCUGCUUGACUAACCUGAUCUCCAUCCAUGACAGGGUGACCUGCUUAGUGUAUGAGGGAUAGGUUGUGGAUGCUGCCAACCUAGACUUUAGUAAAUAAUAGACACCAUUUCCCACAGCAUUCACCAGGAGAAACUGGCUGCUCAUGGCUUGGAUGGGUGUACUGUUCACUGGGUUAAAAACUGGCUGGAUGGCAGAGCCCAAAGAGUGGUGGUAAAUGGAGUUCAAUCCAGCUGGCAGCUAGUCACAAGUGGUAUUCCCCAGGGCUCAGUACUGUGGCCAGUUCUGUUUAAUAUCUUUAUCAAUGAUCUGCACAAGAGGACUGAGUGCACCAUCAGUAAGUUUGCAGGUAACGUAACACCAAACUGGCUGGGAGUGCUGAUCGGCUGAAAGACAGGAAGGCUCUGCAGAGGGAUCUAUACAGACUGGAUUGAUGGGCUGUGGACAAUGGUAUAAGGUUCAAUAAGGCAAAGUGCCGCAUCCUGAAUUUGGGCCACAGCAACCCCAUGCAAUGCUACAGGCUUGAGAAGAGUGGCUGGCAAGCUGCUCAAGUGGAAAAGGACCUGGGGGUGCUGAUUGACAAAUGCUGAACAUGAGCCAGCUUGCGCCCAGGCAGCCAAGAAACAAAGCUGUCUCAAAUCUGAGUACCGACAGAGUAAUUUGUAAUAGGGCUGAGUGACUGAUACACAUGUAUUCCCCUUGCAUUUGCUGGAAUACACUGUACAGACUGCCUCUCAGUGUAUGCCUUCCUGAAUUUUCUUACCAUUUACAUACAAAAAUAAAGUGUCAAAUGUGUAUCUGGCCAGGCUCUGUAUUUGGAUGAAUCCCUUACCUUUUUAUUCCUCUUUCCAUCUCUGGGUUUUAUUUCUC